rnacentral:rRNA from 1 species
GUAGUCCACGCCCUAAACGAUGCCAACUAGGUGUUGGGGAAGGAGACUUCCUUAGUACCGUAGCUAACGCGUGAAGUUGGCCGCCUGGGGAGUACGGUCGCAAGAUUAAAACUCAAAGGAAUUGACGGGGACCCGCACAAGCGGUGGAUGAUGUGGAUUAAUUCGAUGCAACGCGAAAAACCUUACCUACCCUUGACAUGUCAGGAACUUUCCAGAGAUGGAUUGGUGCUCGAAAGAGAGCCUGAACACAGGUGCUGCAUGGCUGUCGUCAGCUCGUGUCGUGAGAUGUUGGGUUAAGUCCCGCAACGAGCGCAACCCUUGUCAUUAAUUGCCAUCAUUCAGUUGGGCACUUUAAUGAGACUGCCGGUGACAAACCGGA